rnacentral:rRNA from 1 species
AUUGAACGCUGGCGGCAUGCUUUACACAUGCAAGUCGAACGGCAGCACGGACUUCGGUCUGGUGGCGAGUGGCGAACGGGUGAGUAAUACAUCGGAACGUACCCAGUAAUGGGGGAUAACUAUCCGAAAGGAUAGCUAAUACCGCAUACGCCCUACGGGGGAAAGAGGGGGAUCGCAAGACCUCUUGUUAUUGGAGCGGCCGAUGGCUGAUUAGCUAGUUGGUGGGGUAAAGGCCUACCAAGGCAACGAUCAGUAGCGGGUCUUAGAGGACGAUCCGCCACACUGGAACUGAGACACGGGCCAGACUCCUACGGGAGGCAGCAGUGGGGAAUCUUGGACAAUGGGCGCAAGCCUGAUCCAGCAAUGCCGCGUGCGUGAAGAAGGCCUUCGGGUUGUAAAGCGCUUUUGUCAGGGAGCAAAUCCUUGUGGCUAAUACCCACCGGGGAUGAGAGUACCUGAAGAAUAAGGACCGGCUAACUUCGUGCCAGCAGCCGCCGUAAAAC